UUUAAUGCAAAUUCAUCCUAGAUGGCGGCGCGGUCGGACGCAGCGGCUACUCCGGGUCCCAAAAACGGUGUUUUUAUGUCUGUUAGUCU